CCUGGUCUCACAUGAGGCUUCUUCCCACAGGAGGACAAGGAGGAAGCUACAUUCAGGCUGCAGGCUGCGACAGUGCCCAGGGCUCUGAUGUGUCUCUCAGCUGCUAAAGUGUGAGCCAGCUGCCUUGUGGGGGCUGAGUGAUGCAGCAUUUCUUCUCACCCCUUUGUAACUUCAAGAUCCUCUGGUUUCCUUUGCUGCAAAAGACAUCAGGAUGUGUCUCUGUUCUUAGGAGGUGGGGAAACUGGCCCAGCCCUGCCCACCAGGCCCCUCCCCACACUGACCUGUCUCUCCGUGAAGACUUUCCUGUUCCUGCAGAGGCAGCUUAGUCUGCGUCUACCCCGUCUCUGUGUUUUCCUCAGGAAUAGUAAAUACUUCCCUCUUAAAAUAAUAAUUGAAUUCUGAAAUUCUUUUUUUUUUUUUUAAUGUUCUGUGUUGGGAGAGACCCUGUGCAGCGAGCAGAAAGGCCUUAACCUGAGUCCCAAAGGCAUGUGAAAACACAUGCAUCUUGGAGGAAAACCUCUGAGUGACCAGACCUGGUGUUCAGUGCCCGGAAUGUGACCUGCGUGGACUCAGGCCUUUCUGUCUCCACAAUCUUAGAAUAACAAGAAAUAAUGAGUGAAAUUCCCAUGCUCUAGCUAGGAGGUGAUAAGAUUAUGUGCGUGAGAACUAACCACCUGGCACCCUACUGUCUGAAAUAGAUAAUAGUAAGAAAGCAGAAUAAUCAGUCAUAUCUACUGUCAUUACAUGGUAUGCUUUGAUGUUACACUUGCUGCACUUAAAGUAGUAUAUGAAAGAGCACUAAGGAAAUAAAGAUUCACUGCUUGCUGGACAUGACAGUCCCCCAUGUCUGAUUUCCUUCAUGGUUGCGUCCCAGGUCCAGGACUCACUAGACGUCCACAGUUGUGGAUUUAUUUUUUUUAAGAUUUAUUUAUUUAUGCAUACAAGAGCUGGGGUACAGGCCAGUGAUGCAGGAGGUGAGAGGAUUCACCAGAGACAGAGUGGGGAACAGAACAGGCAGACUGACUGAAAUACACUGCUGAGGGGAGCAAGGGGUGAGACAGGAGAGGUCUGCUGUGCUAUGUGGGUUUCUCCCUGGCUGGCCGGGCAUCGAAUUCAUGCUGCAGAGGCCAUGGAUUGCUUCAUAGUGUGGUACUUAACCCCUUGCACCACCAGGGAGGCCC